rnacentral:rRNA from 1 species
UGGGGAAUUUUGGACAAUGGGCGCAAGCCUGAUCCAGCCAUGCCGCGUACGGGAAGAAGGCCUUCGGGUUGUAAACCGCUUUUGUCAGGGAAGAAAUCUUCUGAGUUAAUACCUCGGGAGGAUGACGGUACCUGAAGAAUAAGCACCGGCUAACUACGCGCCAGCAGCCGCGGUAAUACGUAGGGUGCAAGCGUUAAUCGGAAUUACUGGGCGUAAAGCGUGCGCAGGCGGUUUUGUAAGACAGAGGUGAAAUCCCCGGGCUCAACCUGGGAACUGCCUUUGUGACUGCAAGGCUUGAGUGCGGCAGAGGGGGAUGGAAUUCCGCGUGUAGCAGUGAAAUGCGUAGAUAUGCGGAGGAACACCGAUGGCGAAGGCAAUCCCCCUGGGCCUGCACUGACGCUCAUGCACGAAAGCGUGGGGGGACAACAA